rnacentral:rRNA from 1 species
GCCUAGGGAUCUGCCCAGUCGAGGGGGAUAACAGUUGGAAACGACUGCUAAUACCGCAUACGCCCUACGGGGGAAAGGAGGGGACCUUCGGGCCUUCCGCGAUUGGAUGAACCUAGGUGGGAUUAGCUAGUUGGUGAGGUAAUGGCUCACCAAGGCGACGAUCCCUAGCUGUUCUGAGAGGAUGAUCAGCCACACUGGGACUGAGACACGGCCCAGACUCCUACGGGAGGCAGCAGUGGGGAAUAUUGCACAAUGGGCGAAAGCCUGAUGCAGCCAUGCCGCGUGUGUGAAGAAGGCCUUCGGGUUGUAAAGCACUUUCAGUAGGGAGGAAAGGGUGUUACUUAAUACGUAAUAUCUGUGACGUUACCUACAGAAGAAGGACCGGCUAACUCCGUGCCAGCAGCCGCGGUAAUACGGAGGGUCCGAGCGUUAAUCGGAAUUACUGGGCGUAAAGCGUGCGCAGGCGGUUUGUUAAGCCAGAUGUGAAAUCCCCGGGCCUCAACUCUAGGAAAUUGCAGUUGGAACCGGCGAACCAGAGCCUCGCAAGACGGGCGUACGUAAUGCCAGGUUGCAGCAGAUGAACAUGCGUACAGAGUCAGCAAGAAUACCGCGUAGACGAAGGCGACCGCCUGGACAAACAGUGAAGCUCAUGCACGAUAGCCGCCAGAGCUUACAGCAUGAGAUACAGUCGUAGUCCACGCCGCAACCGAUGUCUACUCUGAGUUCUCGAGACCUGAGCACUGUGCUCUCAAGCUAACGCAUUAAGUAGACCGCUCUGGGGAGUAUCUACUUCAACCUUAAAACUCAAAUGUAUUGAGGUGGGGCCCCGCAAUCGGUGGAGCAUGUUGUUUAAUUCGAUGCACCGCGAAGAACCUUAGCUACUCUUGACAUCCACAGAAGAUUGCAGAGAUGCGAUGGUGCCUUCAGGAACUGUGAGACAGCUUCUGCAUUGCUGUCGUCAGCUCGUGUUGUGAAAUGUUGGGCUAACUCCCCCAACGAGCGCAACUCCUAUCCUUAUUUGCCAGCACGUAAUGGUGGGAACUCUAGGGAGACUGCGGGUGAUAAACCGGAGGAAGGUGGGGCCGACGUCAAGUCAUCAUGGUCCUUACGAGUAGGGCUACACACGUGCUACAAUGGCGUAUACAGAGGGUGCAAAGCGCGAGGUGGAGCUAAUCUCACAAAGUCCGUCGUAGUCCGGAUUGGAGUCUCAACUCGACUCCAUGAAGUCGGAAUCGCUAGUAAUCGUGAAUCGAGAAUGUCGCGGUGU